rnacentral:lncRNA from 10 species
GGUACCGAGUGAGACCCAGCUGACCUGGAAAAUGACAGGGACACUUUUUAUCCUUCCAACUUAACCUUUCCGUCCUGACUUAACCUUUCCCUCUUUGACACAAAUGAAGAAAUUAGGGCUCUUGACUGCUACUGAUUUAAGGGGAUUACAGAGGCACUGCCAGCGAGCAUGAGCACAAGAGUUUAGCGCCUCUCGGCAGCUGAGAGAGGAUGCUGCAUACUUGGGGCCUGGGACCUCCGAGAAGACCUUCUUCAGCCGAAAGCACACCUUAUUCUUGUCCCAGUUGAAGGCUUCCCAACGGUCUUCAUGUGGCACUUGCUGUGUGCCAGGCCCCACUCUGGGCACUUGGUUUAUUUAAUUCUAACCAUGGUCCUAGGUGAUGGGCGCUGGUAUGACUGUGGGAAAGGGACAAGGUGGGAGAUGUGAACGAACUUCCGGAGCCCUCCCUCGGGCAGCCUAGCUCCCCGCCUCCUCCAACACCUUCUGUUGCUUUUCCAGCACAGCCAGUACUGGGCUCUUGGGUUCGAGCACGGGGCGGGGUGAAGGGUGCUGGGAGGUCACAUUCUUGCUUCCCAGCACUGAAGACUGGAAGAAUGAAUGGCACAGAUGAACAAGGCCGUCCUGCAUCCGCCGCUCACUAGAGGCUUCACAGCUGCGUAGGGACACAGGACAUCUGUACAAUAAAUACCAAUGGUAUUAGUGCCCUAGGGCUGCAGGAACAAAGCACCACAGACUGGGGGUGCUGGAACAGCAGAAACUCAGGCUCUCCCAUUUCUGGAUGCCGGAAGUCCAAAAUCUAGUGUCGGCAGGGCUGUGUCCUCUCUGAGGUUUCCAGGGGAGGAGGCUUCCUUGCUUCUCUGGCUUCUGGUGGUGGCUGGCAAUGCUCGGCAUUCCUUGGCUUAUGGACGCAGCACUGAAAUUGCAGCCCUUAUCUUCAUGUGGCCUUCCUUGUGGCGCUCUGUGUCCAAAUGUCCCUCUCCUCUAAGGACACCAGUCAUCGGAUUAGGCCAGCUCUAAUCCGGUGUGCCUCAUCUUGAUUUAACUAACUACAUCUGCAAAGACACUAUUUCCAGAUUACGUCACGUUCCGAGGUUCCUGGUGGACGUGAAUUUUUGGAAGACGCUGUCCAACCUGGGACACCAGCCAGCCCCUCUCUGGCUCCCUCAGUCCCUCCACCCUUCGGAAGUGGUAAAUGGUGGCUUGCUAACAGCGCCUGUAGCAGCCACCUCCUGGUGAUGGCAAAGGAAGGGCCCUCUCAGUCAUAGGGGCCAAUGGCGAGGAGGACCUGGGACGUGGUGCACUGAGCAUUUUCCCUUCUCAGCAGCUCACUCCUUUGUGUGUCUGUGAUGCGAAGGCUGUGACAUCAGUCAGCCUCAUGGAGAACUGGAACAACGGGCUCUGUGUCUUUGGAGAACGCGUCAAGACCAGGGCCUCUUCCCCUGCUCCCAUGGUUCCCAGCGUUCUUGUCUCCUGAGAGAGGAUGUAGUGGGUGUCAUGUUCAGCAUCGCAACUGGCCUCCGUGGAAACCAGGGUGGAGCUCAGACGGGUGUGGGGGGAGCAUGUGACUGAGCUCCUUCCCACUCUCUCUCCGGCACACACGGAGUCAGUGUAGGGAGGUGAUGGGUAGACUCAGCCUGUGGGAUUCUGGCCUGGCUUCCCGGCAGCAAGCAGGAGCUUCAGAUGCUCAUUCCCGCCGCGGUCGGCUGUGGCGGCGACUCAUACCCGUUUCCGCUCGAAUGAUGCCAGCUGUCCUGCUGCGCCACCUUCCUCUGUCCUCGCAUCCGCUGAUGGGAUUUCCGGUCGCUUCCACUUUGUGGCUCUUUUGAAGAAUGCCGCUAGGAACAUUCACACGCAGGUUUUUGGUGUGGACGUUCUUGGCCAUAAAAUAUGGCUUUUGGAAAAAUAAAGCUGAGACUUGGAGUUCACGGUGGGGGCUCCCCCAUCUGUGAACAGAAGCAGAAGUUUGGAACUGCCUUCUUUACUGCUCGAGAGGGAAAACUUGAGUGAAAACCAGGAUGCUGGCGAAUGUUGAGUAGCUAAGCUGCACAGGAAAUACCACUUGAUGACCUGCGAUCUGGGGAAGCCGCGCCAGGGCUCUGCGAAGCUGCGGACGAGGGAGGCGUCAGUGUGGGGGCUGCAGCUCAGCUCCGGGGGGGACGCGCCUUUCUCCACGGGACCUGGGGCUCAGGUGCUCACGAGGCUGGGGCGCUGCAGGCCACCCGCAGGGGAAACUGAGGCCCUCCAUUUUGUGGGGCUGGAAGACCUUUCCUUCCAAAAGCAGGUGUAGGCGGGAGCACCUGUGCAGUCCCUCUGUUCAGAUCCUCACCCACUUUUAAAUCAGGAAACAGCAGAUGAAAUGCACAGUGUGAAGGACAAGGAUUCUGCUGAGAGAAUUGCUCCGAGGGUUGCUCAAGUGAUCAUGGGAAAUAAUGCAUCAAACCAUUCUUUAGAUGCAGCUCAGGUGUGCCUUUUCUUCGCCUGUGCCCAUCCACCUGAGAUGGACCAUAACCAUAAAAGUCAGAAGGCACUGACCCUUCAGGACGUGACAGGGUUAAAAGAUGCUGGAGGGAAAGUCUGUCAUUGACUUUUAUUCACUUCCUUUCUCCAUUCUGCCAUUUGGAAGAAGGUAAGCAACUUAACACUAUUUUAGACCAUAUGUUGUAAACUAGCAGGAAAAUGCCUUUGAGCUGAUGAUGGUGGCCCGAACACAGUGAACCUGUCUUAAAUCCCUGCUUUAAACCCUUAAGGGUGUCACUUACAAGAGAUACUAUUUGAAGUCUUCCCAUGCAUGUGUAGGGUGGGGGGAGUACCAACAGCUCAUCGAAUGGGCUCCAUUUGAAAGAUCUGGAUGGUUGCCUUUAUUUGUAACUAGUUUCUUUUCUUUUUUUUUUUUUCCUUGAGAUGGAGUCUUGCUCUAUCACUGGGCUGGAGUGCAGUGGCG